GGGGGUGUAGCUUAGUAGUAGAGCGCAUGCUUUGCAGGUACGAGGCACCAGCUUCGAUCCCCGGCACUUCCA
rnacentral:tRNA from 1 species